AUAGAAGUAUUCCGGUUGGUCGGAUACUCCACCUGGAAUGGAGAGGCUGCAGGUUCGAGUCCUGCCUUCUAUA
rnacentral:tRNA from 2 species